CCUACGGGAGGCAGCAGUGGGGAAUUUUGCGCAAUGGGCGAAAGCCUGACGCAGCAACACCGCGUGAGCGAAGAAGGCCUUCGGGUUGUAAAGCUCUGUCAGGGGGAAAGAAGGCACCUGGGUGAAUAGCCCAAGGGCUGACGGUACCCCCAAAGGAAGCCACGGCUAACUACGUGCCAGCAGCCGCGGUAAUACGUAGGUGGCAAGCGUUGUCCGGAAUCAUUGGGCGUAAAGAGCGCGUAGGCGGCUUGCCAGGUCCGAGGUAAAAGCCUGGGGCUUAACUCCAGAACUGCAUCGGAAACCGGCUUGCUAGAGUCUGGGAGAGGGGAGUGGAAUUCCUGGUGUAGGGGUAAAAUGCGUAGAUAUCAGGAGGAACACCGGUAGCGAGGGCGGCUCCCUGAAACAGUACUGACGCUGAGGCGCGAAAGCUAGGGGAGCAAACAGGAUUAGAUACCCUAGUAGU
rnacentral:rRNA from 1 species